rnacentral:rRNA from 1 species
GACGAACGCUGGCGGCGCGCCUAACACAUGCAAGUCGAACGAGCGAGAGAGAGUUUACUUUUUCGAGCGAGUGGCGAACGGGUGAGUAACGCGUGAGGAACCUGCCUCAAAGAGGGGGACAACAGUUGGAAACGACUGCUAAUACCGCAUAAGCCCACGGCUCGGCAUCGAGCAGAGGGAAAAGGAGCAAUCCGCUUUGAGAUGGCCUCGCGUCCGAUUAGCUAGUUGGUGAGGUAACGGCCCACCAAGGCGACGAUCGGUAGCCGGACUGAGAGGUUGAACGGCCACAUUGGGACUGAGACACGGCCCAGACUCCUACGGGAGGCAGCAGUGGGGAAUAUUGCACAAUGGGGGAAACCCUGAUGCAGCGACGCCGCGUGGAGGAAGAAGGUCUUCGGAUUGUAAACUCCUGUUGUUGAGGAAGAUAAUGACGGUACUCAACAAGGAAGUGACGGCUAACUACGUGCCAGCAGCCGCGGUAAAACGUAGGUCACAAGCGUUGUCCGGAAUUACUGGGUGUAAAGGGAGCGCAGGCGGGAAGACAAGUUGGAAGUGAAAUCCAUGGGCUCAACCCAUGAACUGCUUUCAAAACUGUUUUUCUUGAGUAGUGCAGAGGUAGGCGGAAUUCCCGGUGUAGCGGUGGAAUGCGUAGAUAUCGGGAGGAACACCAGUGGCGAAGGCGGCCUACUGGGCACCAACUGACGCUGAGGC